rnacentral:rRNA from 1 species
UACGUAGGGUGCAGGCGUUAAUCGGAAUUACUGGGCGUAAAGCGUGCGCAGGCGGUCUCUUAAGACAGGUGUGAAAUCCCCGGGCUUAACCUGGGAACUGCGCUUGUAACUGAGAGGCUUGAGUGCGGCAGAGGGGGGUGGAAUUCCACGUGUAGCAGUGAAAUGCGUAGAGAUGUGGAGGAACACCGAUGGCGAAGGCAGCCCCCUGGGUCGACACUGACGCUCAUGCACGAAAGCGUGGGGAUCAAACAGG